GCUGAUAUAGCUCAGUUGGUAGAGCAGCUGACUUGUAAUCAGCAGGUCAAGAGUUCGAGUCUCUUUAUCAGCU
rnacentral:tRNA from 1 species